UAACGAAUCUUCCGCAAUGGGCGAAAGCCUGACGGAGCAAUGCCGCGUGUGGGAUGAAGCGUCUCUGACUGUAAACCACUGCAGGGGUCGGAACUCCAAAGGAAGUGGCGACUAACUCUGUGCCAGCAGUCGCGGUAAUACAGAGGCCACAAGCGUUAUUCGGAAUCACUGGGCUUAAAGGGUGCGUAGGCGGAUCCGCAAGUGUCCUGUGAAAUCCCACGGCUCAACCGUGGAACAGCAGGGCAUACUGCGGAUCUCGAGGCAAGUAGGGGCGGGCAGAACAGUAGGUGGAGCGGUGAAAUGCGUAGAUAUCUACUGGAAUGCCGAUGGGGAAGCCGGCCCGCUGGGCUUGUCCUGACGCUGAGGCACGAAAGCGUGGGAAGCAAACAGGAUUAGAUACCCGUGUAGU
rnacentral:rRNA from 1 species